rnacentral:pre_miRNA from 1 species
UCAGGACACCAGAGGACCAUAGAGCAAAUUACUUCUACCAGAGUGCUAAAUGCUCCCCUGCUGCCCUGGGA